GUUCGUGAUGUUGCUUUUCUUCAUCCCUCUUAACGCAAGAUUCGUAUUGAUGACCGACGAGCUUUCGAUUAAAUAAUUUAUAUUAAUAUUAGGACCAUUAGCGCGUUCGUUUGGAUUUAUUUUUUUAUAUUCGUCUAAAAAUACGCAAAAACGAAUAAAAAAUAAAACCAUUUAAACGGACAACGUCACAUCGUGAUACCGUUUGUUUUCUCUGUCCGUAUCGGACGUAAUACUCCGCAACUCAACUAUUGUGAUUCUCCGAUCGAGAUUAGAGCAAUAGAAACUAUCAUAGGUUUUUAUAAAUAUCAGUGGAUUCUUCAAGCCUGGAUGCAAUGAUCAAAAUAUUACGCGUGUUUUAAUUUAACUUAAUUUCUAGUUAAGAUUGCUGUUCGUUAUUGAAAAACUCUUUCGGCCAUAGGACAUUGGAAACACGGCUAUUUAUAAAAUAUAAAUAAUAUUUUGUUCCUUUGUUCCAAACUCAACCACAGAGAUUCCCGACGAUUUAAGAACGGAGCAAUGUCUUUUGGUAGUUGUAUUGUGCGCGUGAAACAGACAGAGAAAACAAACGUCAGCCGGGAUACUGGAUGCACCCUUAAGCAAGUACGGCCGGAUAGAACAAAUAAUUCGAAAAACCGCGUGCUCUUUCGCGAAGAAACGUGCACAUUUUCAUGUACAUGUGUUGACGUAAAAACGUCUCGUCUAGUCGC